rnacentral:rRNA from 1 species
GACGAACGCUGGCGGCGUGCCUAAUACAUGCAAGUAGAACGCUGAAGGAGGAGCUUGCUCUUCUGGAUGAGUUGCGAACGGGUGAGUGACGCGUAGGUAACCUGCCUGGUAGCGGGGGAUAACUAUUGGAAACGAUAGCUAAUACCGCAUAACAUUGACUAUUGCAUGAUAGUCAAUUGAAAGGUGCAAAUGCACCACUACCAGAUGGACCUGCGUUGUAUUAGCUAGUUGGUGGGGUAACGGCUCACCAAGGCAACGAUACAUAGCCGACCUGAGAGGGUGAUCGGCCACACUGGGACUGAGACACGGCCCAGACUCCUACGGGAGGCAGCAGUAGGGAAUCUUCGGCAAUGGACGGAAGUCUGACCGAGCAACGCCGCGUGAGUGAAGAAGGUUUUCGGAUCGUAAAGCUCUGUUGUAAGAGAAGAACGAGUGGAGAGGGAAAGUUCACACUGG